rnacentral:tRNA from 1 species
AAAUCUUAAAAAUUAAAUUGCAAAUUUAAAAAUGAAUCUUCUUCUAAGAUUUU